rnacentral:rRNA from 1 species
AAACUCGUGCCAGCCACCGCGGUUAUACGAGAGACCCAAGUUGACAAACGCCGGCGUAAAAUGUGGCCAGUAUAAUAUUUUACUAAAGCCAAACAUCUUCAAGGCUGUUAUACGUUUUCGAAGACAAGAGGCCCUACCACGAAAGUGGCUUUAAAUAAUACCCCCCACAAAAGCUAGGAAACAAACUGGGAUUA